AGGAGGCAGGCGGCUGGGAGGUUUUGCAUGAAAAAAAGAAAAGAAAAGAAAAGUCUCAAGAGCCAGGUUUACCAAGUGCUGGCUGCGUGCAGGGCAUGGACCAGGUGCUGAGCGCGUGAAGAUUGGGAAAUGAAGACAAGAGAGGGGACAGACGGGGAUGAGAAGGCCUAUGGCAGGCAGGGAGGGCGUUGAGGCCCCGAGCCAGGCCAUCGGACCCCAGAUCCUGAGCGGCCUCUGCAGCACCAUGAGGUACAGCCAUGAGGUGACACCAGUUCGAGCCCUGGUCCGGGAAGAUCCCACAUGCCGCGGAGCAACUAAGCAUGUGCGCCACAACUACUGAGCCUGAGCUCUAGAGCCCGUGAGCCACAACUACUGAAGCCCGCAUGCCCAGAGCCCGUGCUCUGCAACAAAGGAAGCCACCGCAGUGAGAGGCCCGAGCACCACAACGAAGAGUAGCCCCUGCUCGCCGCAACGA